rnacentral:rRNA from 1 species
UACGUAGGGUGCAGGCGUUAAUCGGAAUUACUGGGCGUAAAGCGUGCGCAGGCGGUUUUGUAAGCCAGAUGUGAAAUCCCCGGGCUUAACCUGGGAAUGGCAUUUGGGACUGCAAGGCUCGAGUGCGGCAGAGGAGACUGGAAUUCCUGGUGUAGCAGUGAAAUGCGUAGAUAUCAGGAGGAACACCAAUGGCGAAGGCAGCUCGCUGGAACGGUACUGACGCUGAGGCGCGAAAGCGUGGGGAGCGAACAGG